AUUGAACGCUGGCGGCAUGCUUUACACAUGCAAGUCGAACGGCAGCGGGGGCUUCGGCCUGCCGGCGAGUGGCGAACGGGUGAGUAAUGCAUCGGAACGUGCCCAGUCAUGGGGGGAUAACUACGCGAAAGCGUAGCUAAUACCGCAUACGCCCUGAGGGGGAAAGCGGGGGAUCGCAAGACCUCGCGUGAUUGGAGCGGCCGAUGCCGGAUUAGCUAGUUGGUGGGGUAAAGGCCUACCAAGGCGACGAUCCGUAGCGGGUCUGAGAGGAUGAUCCGCCACACUGGGACUGAGACACGGCCCAGACUCCUACGGGAGGCAGCAGUGGGGGAAUUUUUGGACAAAUGGGGGGGCAACCCUGAUCCAGCCAUGCCGCGUGAGUGAAGAAGGCCUUCGGGUUGGUUAAAGGACGUCUUUACAGACGGAAAGAAAUACGGGACGGGU
rnacentral:rRNA from 1 species